AAAAUCUUGUCCACCGAAUUUUUCAUUAGAUAAAAAUGACCAUGAUAAACAUGACAGAAAAGAUGAUAAAGACGAGGAUAAUAAUAAUAGUGAUUUAAAUGUGAAAGAAGAAGAUACUAAGAAA
rnacentral:ribozyme from 1 species